rnacentral:piRNA from 1 species
UAAAUCUUGGACAAAGAUGAUUCCUUGUGU